UUACCUAUGAUGAUGUAAUAAGAAAGAUACGUUAUGUUAGUACUCGGUUGAGUAAAGUAUCGGGUACCCAUCGCGGCCCAUCGAUUUGGGUCGUGACAAUCAUUAGGACCAUCAUACUUGCCGACCAUCGAUGAACUGAUCGGAUUAACCAACCAAAGUUGGCUUCAGUCAUUAUGUAUUGAACAGAAGCAAAAGCUUCAGUAACGGUCGGACGAUAGUAAAAAGUCUUAGCAAACCCAGUAGCUACUUGUACUAAAAAAUAAGUAAGCGUAAUACCCCCUAAACAAUAAAAUAUAUUGACGUGGGGAGGAAAGUAUUUACUAGUUAUAUCAUCCACAAUUGCUUGAAUCUCGAGACGUUCUUCGAACCAAUCAUAUACUUUAUUGAGAUAGGCGUAACUCCCCCCUCUGAGAACCGUAUAUGAGACUUUCAUCUCGUACAGCUCAAGCAAAAAUACCAAAAUACUAGUUGCAACGGAUAUGGAAUAGAAAGUUUUAAAUUUAUUAAGUUCUGAUCCCAUCUUCUCUGGAAAAUCCGAAAGCUCUUUUUUGUGGCGAUAAUACCAAAAUAUCAAGUUGGCGCAUUCGUCUUUAUCUUUAUUUUGAUACUUAUGGGCCUCUUGAAUUUUCUUUUUCCCUAUUUCUUUCUAGAAUUUAUUUUUGUGGAAUAUGGCUUUUAUUAUUUAUUUUCUUUAUUAUUGAUAGGAAUUCUCUUGUUAAGACUCUAUAAAUCGAUUAAAACCUCAGAUUCAUACUAGAACCGUGAUGAUUCAAUAAAAAAACCUAACCUAAAUCAAAUCAAGGAUUCCCUGAGUAAGAAUCCUCGGAUCAUCACUUAUUCCCCUGAAUAAAUAGAAUGACUAAAAAUUCAAAGAAAGGUUUUGCUUUUGGUUAAAAUAUAAAUAGGGGUUGAAAGAAAAGAAUCUUUUGAUUUAGAAAUUAGAAUUCUUUGUUUGAAAUUUUUUUGGAGCCCAGACACGAGGUCUGAAUAUUAAGUAUGAAUCAUAGUUCAAAUAUUUCUUAAUCUAUUUCGUGUUCUAAAUAUUAGAAUAAAUAUCUGACGAAGUAGAACCAUCUCUAUCAAGAUGACAGACCCAUUCUCUGUACUAUCAAUAGGAUCAAUUAUAACAAGUCACACACUCAUACUCCGGAAAUACAGAAACAAAGAAAUUCCACCAUCGAACUAGCAAAAGAAAAUAGAAUGGACUAGAAAUCGGAGCUCUAAAUGAUUCAUUUUGGACUCAAAAGCAAGAACUUUGUGGUUCUUAUAGAUCUAAUUCAUUGAAAUUCUAUCCAAUAAAACGGAAGAAUUAUAAAUCUCCAAAAUAAUAGAUAGAAAUACCGCAAAUAAGGCCAUUGCGACACCCAUCAAAGGANNNNN
rnacentral:lncRNA from 1 species